UACGUAGGGCGCAAGCGUUAUCCGGAAUUAUUGGGCGUAAAGAGCUCGUAGGCGGCUUAGCAAGUCGGGUGUGAAAACUCCAGCUCAACCUGGAGACGCCACCCGAUACUGCUAUGGCUAGAGUCCGGUAGGGGACCACGGAAUUCCUGGUGUAGCGGUGAAAUGCGCAGAUAUCAGGAGGAACACCGGUGGCGAAGGCGGUGGUCUGGGCCGGAACUGACGCUGAGGAGCGAAAGCGUGGGGAGCGAACAGG
rnacentral:rRNA from 1 species